rnacentral:rRNA from 1 species
AUAUUGGACAAUGGGUGCAACCCUGAUCCAGCUAUGCCGCUUGUGUGACAUAGGUCUUCGGAUUGUAAAGCACUUUAUUAUGGGAGGAUGGGCUCUAGGCUAAUACCCCGCAGAUUCUCUGUUCCGAACUGAAUAAGCACCACCUACCUCCAUGCUUGCAGCCGUGGUAAUACAGAGGGUGCAAGCGUUACUCGGAAUUACUGGGCGUAAAGCGCGCGUAGGUGGUUCAGUAAGAUGGGUGUGAAAUCCCCGGGCUUAACCUGGGAACUGCUUUCAUAACUGCUGAGCUAGAGUACGGUAGAGGGUAGUGGAAUUUCCUGUGUAGCGGUGAAAUGCGUAGAUAUAGGAAGGAACACCAGUGGCGAAGGCGACUACCUGGACUGAUACUGACACUGAGGUGCGAAAGCGUGGGGAGCAAAC